GCACCAGUAGCUCAGUUGGAUAGAGCACAGGAUUCCGGUUCCUGGUGUCGGGGGUUCGAAUCCCUCCUGGCGUG
rnacentral:tRNA from 1 species